rnacentral:pre_miRNA from 1 species
UCUUAUGGAUGAGCAAACUAAGUGGUUUCUUGCGAUGGAAUUUACUCCUGGUGAAGACACUGUGAA